rnacentral:rRNA from 1 species
AGAGCGGCGUACGGGUGCNGAACACGCUGUGCACUGCCUUCUAUCUGCGCGGGAUAGCCUUUCGAAAGGAAGAUUAAUACCCCAUAAUAUGUUGAAUGGGAUCAUUCGACAUUGAAAACUCCGGUGGAUAGAGAUGGGCACGCGCAAGAUUAGAUAGUUGGUGAGGUAACGGGUCACAAGUCUACGAUCUUUAGGGGGCCUGAGAGGGUGAUCCCCCACACUGGUACUGAGACACGGACCAGACUCCUACGGGAGGCAGCAGUGAGGAAUAUUGGACAAUGGGUGAGAGCCUGAUCCAGCCAUCCCGCGUGAAGGACGACUGCCCUAUGGGUUGUAAACUUCUUUUGUAUAGGGAUAAACUUACCCUCGUGAGGGUAGCUGAAGGUACUAUACGAAUAAGCACCGGCUAACUCCGUGCCAGCAGCCGCGGUAAUACGGAGGGUGCAAGCGUUAUCCGGAUUUAUUGGGUUUAAAGGGUCCGUAGGCGGAUCUGUAAGUCAGUGGUGGAAAUCUCACAGUUUAAUUGUGAAAAUUGGCCAUUGAUACUGGAGGGUCUUGAGUGUGUGAAGUAUUGGAAUAAGUUAAUGUAGGUGAAAUGGC